UGUUGGUUUGUAGGAAAUGGAGAAAUUUGGGUUUCAUUUCCUUCCCAGAAACCGCUGUGGCACUGCACCAGGACUCUUCUUUCUCCUAGAAAAUACCAAGUUCACUUUCUGCCCAGGUUGACCUAGGGAAGGCACAGUGGUUUCCUCGUGCCUUUCUCAUCUUCCAAGUCCAUCAGCCCCCUCAUCUUUCCAAUCCCCUGUCAGUCCGGCCACCUGCUAUCUCCAUUCAGGUCUGGUUGUAGAUUGCAGCCCAUGCCUAUCUUAAGACCCAGACUGAAGUUGUAGCAAGAAGAAUGAAGCUUAGACAUCUGUGCAGAUUUCCUGACUAGGCACUCUGGUGUCCCUACUUCACUGCCUCCACCUCUACUCCUGCCCUGGUUUCCUGCUUCUCUCCUUUUGCCACCGUCUCUGGCCUCCUCAGCCCCACUUCACAUCACUGAGUCCUGACACCCACUUCCAUGGGUUCUAGGGGAGAGGAGAGGCGAGGGUCGGCCCUGCUCUGCACUAUAUCUCCCGCUUACUCUCCAGAACCUCCACAAUAAAUGGACUGGGCUAA